AAACCAACAGGGAUUGCCCUAGUAACGGCGAGUGAAGCGGCAACAGCUCAAAUUUGAAAUCUGGCUUUCGGGCCCGAGUUGUAAUUUGUAGAGGAUGAUUUUGAUGCGGUGCCUUCCGAGUUCCCUGGAACGGGACGCCAUAGAGGGUGAGAGCCCCGUCUGGUUGGAUGCCAAAUCUCUGUAAAUCUCCUUCGACGAGUCGAGUAGUUUGGGAAUGCUGCUCUAAAUGGGAGGUAUAUGUCUUCUAAAGCUAAAUACCGGCCAGAGACCGAUAGCGCACAAGUAGAGUGAUCGAAAGAUGAAAAGCACUUUGAAAAGAGAGUUAAAAAGUACGUGAAAUUGUUGAAAGGGAAGCGUUUAUGACCAGACUUGGGCUUGGUUAAUCAUCUGGGGUUCUCUCCAGUGCACUUUUCCAGCCCAGGCCAGCAUCAGUUUUCGCCGGGGGAUAAAGACUUCGGGAAUGUGGCUCCCCUCGGGGAGUGUUAUAGCCCGUUGUGUAAUACCCUGGUGGGGACUGAGGUUCGCGCUUCUGCAAGGAUGCUGGCGUAAUGGUCAUCAACGAC
rnacentral:rRNA from 1 species